UCUCAAACAGCUUCUACUGGGAGAUUAAUUAUAGAAGCCACAGUAUUUCCUGAAAAUGGUAAAACAUUUUAAAGGAAUACUAAGACACUGCUUGAUAAAUGGCUUCACUCUCUAUUGCCUAACGAUUCAAAAGAAAAAUGCAUGUUUGAAAUAGAACAGGAUGUAAUGGAAAUCUAAGUAGAUGGGCUAUAAAAUGUAUUUUAUUAACUAUUUACAGUGGCUAUGUAAAUUGUUUUCAUCUGUGCUGGAGAAAGUUCUCUGUCAGGGUUUGUGGACCUUUCCUGGUGCUUCUCUCUUUGAUUUGUAGUAGAGAGGUGAGGGGACACAAAUGUGAGGGUUGUGUAGCUGGAUCUUCAGAUAAGCUUCACCAGGUACUAUCUUAGCACUCGACCGUGUCGUUCAGAGAAAACACCCUCCAGCAAAGCAAGGAAAGAACCAAGAAAGACAAGCGUGUUUGCAUCCUGGAGAAUGUCUCCUGUCACCAUUGUCCCCGGAAGUUUGCCUCGCUUCUAUUAGAGUAAGAGGGCUACAAUUCCAUGGCAUGGUCAUCUCUUAGGGCAAAAUGGAUAAUGCACCCUACAACUUGGCUUAUCCAAAUAUAACCUCUCUCUUGUCCCGUUUGUGAAAAGUGCCUCCCGGAAAAAAGAAAAGAGAAAAAAGAAAACAUUCCAUGUGUUUGGAAUGAAUUUCAACUUAUUUAUUUAUUUAUUUUUAAAAAAAAAUUUUUUUAAUUUUUUUUUUAUUUAUUUAUUUUUGAAGGACAGAGAGACCGAGCAUGAGCAGGGGAGGAGCAGAGAGAGAGGGAGACAUAGAAUUUGAUGCAGGCUCCAGGCUCUGAGCUGUGAGCACAGAACCCGAUGCGAGGCUCCAACCCACGAACCAUGAGAUCAUGACCUGAGCCGAAGUCGAACGCUUAACCAACUGAGCCACCCAGGCGCCCCGAAUUUCAACUUUUUUAAAAGGUGGCCUGAUCUUGCCUUAAAACGUGCAAUCACUUUGACAGUCGUUGUGGGAUCUGUCAGGUAGUUUGUGAAUCAUCAAGACUCCUGGCUUCUCUGCUCUUGGCCAGUCUUCUAAUCCAUUCGCUGAGCAAUGGCGAGAGCCAGGCAGUGGUGCUGUGUUACCCUAUAAGCAGACUGGUUGCCUACAACAUGAAGACACUCAGAAAACAUCUUUUUGAAAUGAAUUUGAGGGGGGCCUGGGUGGCUCAGUAGGUUAAGCAUCCAACUCUUAGUUUCGGCUCAGGUCACGAUCUCCCAGUUGGUGAGUUCCAGCCCCACGUCAGGCUCUGUGCUGACAGCUCAGAGCCUGCUUGAGAUUCUCUCUCUCCCUCUCUCUCUCUGCCCCUCCUAUGCUCUCUCUCUCUCUCUCUCUCAAAAUAAAUAAACUUAAAAAAAAAAAAAAAGACUCUGAAACUUGAUAUUUCAAAAGAAGCACUAAGACUUCCCCAGUGGGGAACAUACCAGAACAUUGUUCUGCUUCUUUACAGUUAAUUAUGGUUUAGUACCGUUUUUAUUUUUAAUUAUAUACGGGGGUGGCAGCACCAUAAUCUUCUUAGUGCUGAGGUCUUCUAAAAUCUUAAUCCGGUCCUGAUAUGGCUCCAGGCUUAGAUGUUCAUGAAGGGUCUCACGUGCACCUGCUACCCGCUGCUUUCCUGUGGUGAGUUCCAGAAGACCAGGCACCAUGAGUCUUGCUGUCCUCCAGUCCUCAGUACCUAGCCCAGUACUGGGCACGUAGCAGGUACAACAGACCUUUGUCGCUGUAGUCGCUGGUUCCGCUUUUAACAGUUGCGAUGAGUGUCGCUAUUAAGGCAGCCCCGCUUCCUGAUAAAGCCAAUGAAUGCAUCACUCCCCAACCCCCCGUAGCGGGUGGAGGAGACAGACACACUUGAAGCAAUUAGUAAAUGCGAAGUGCUGUGCCCGGGGCUUGACAUAAGUUAACUCUCUCUUUAAUCCUUGUAUCAAAUCCUGAAGUCGGUAUGAGCUCCAUAUUACACCUGAGGAACCUGAAGCGUGGAGGCUAAGCGGCUUGACAAAAGUCAAUGAAAUAGGCUUUUCAGGCAAAUGAAAUAGGAAAGCAUCAGAGCACGGUUGGCCUGACCCCCUAACGAGGGCUUUUUUCAUUACAUGUGUUGCCAGACUGCUCGAGUUCAAUAGACUGAUCACUGGUGUACAAAACUAAGAUAGAUGCACGUCAAAAAUAGCCCAGCAGGUCAGUAUCUAUCCAGUCAUGCUCAGCAUUAAAAAAAAAAUUGAGGACCUAUAUGUAAGAUUAUGGUGGGAGCGGGGUAGGAAGAAUUCCCUGCAAGGGUUAGGACUCCAGGGGACAAUUCCUGGGUCUGAAUAAAUCUCAGAAACUUCUUAGGACCGAGGCCCUUCCUUGGGGCUUUGAGAAGAGCUGGAUUUGGGAUAGAGCCAAGCCCAAAGCUGGGAGCAGCGUGAUGGGUUUUGGAUCUUGUCUCACCUGUUCCAAGCUGGGAGGUGGGGUGGGGGAAGUGGUGGUGGUGGGGGGGGGAGUAGACAAUGUCUGAGGCUCAGUUCAAGACUAUUUUCAGGAAAUCUUGGACUUUCCACAAUUAAUCAAACAGAGGCGAUGCCCAGAGAAGAUGCAGAACAAACUCCAUAGGUCCUGGGCAGGAAAGGCAGCUAGAUGGUGAAAUAAUCUCUCACCUUCCAGGUGACACGAAACCAACCUACUCUUCUUCCUAACAAUGGAAAGAAAACAGUCUGAACUGGAGGGGGGAAAGGUAUUAAGCUGCAUGAAUGAAGGCACCUUAAAUGGAGGGCAGAGACCCGGUAUCCUGUGUAUUGUUUUGAAAUAGGAGUCAAAAUUACCUGUCGGAUUGGUGUGGGGCAAGACUAAAGGGAAAAGGAGGUGGACAGACAGCCUUUCAAAGUUCUUCUAGCCAGAAGUUUCUGUAAUUGGAUGGCUCCUUUGGAUCGUUCUCCAUUCCGUCUUAUUCUUUUUAGUCUAGUGUUUCACUGGCUCCAUUUACGAGGGAAAAGAGAAAGUUACUCCCUGGUUGCAUAAGGCCAGGUCCAGGUCGUACAGAAUAAUGAAAUGGGAAAGCUCACAGACCCCCACGUUCGACAAUGAAAGAAGAAAUUCAGACCUCUGCUUAUGACAUGAAAUGAGAAAAUGUGCGUUUCACACUGUUCCCUGGCACCGGGGUUUUUGAAGACCAAGGAGAGACAGGAGGAUAGGUUAUCACAAGCAAUCCCACAUAUCUGGCUUACCUAUCUAACCCAUUCUUUGUUUUCCAUGAUAUUUGGAAAUUGUAAAAUUUGACAUCAGUGUUAAGGGUGUGAAUAGAGUAUUAGGUGUGAUUAGUCAUGAAAAGGAGGUGCUUUGUGAGCGCACUGAAAUGAAAUUGAAGAACGUAGGCAUGAUGUAGUAAUGAGUUGUGUCAACAGAGGGGAGAAAGAAUGAGAUUAAAAAAAAAAAAAAAAGAUAGUCCACUGUGGCAGGGGGCUAAUUAUCUUGACAUCUCAUCUUCCAGGAGGCUAACAGUUCGUUCACUCGCUAAAAGUCAUCUCGGAGUGACUCGCGGAGAUAUUUUUAAACACGCCAUUUCAUAAUGCAGCUAUGUCUGCUUCUGAUAGUUGAACUCUUAAGGACCAACUGUUAAAGCAAAAUAUGAAAUACUCUGUGCGACUCCGUGCCUUAGACACCGGGAGGUUAUUAGCAAUAAUAAGCCCUUUACCACCAUUCAAAUGAGUUCCUGAAACUUGCUUUGAGUACUUUGAGUGACUGCAGUUCCUCUGCGUGAAUGGCCCAUACUUCAUUUUGUGUCACUAUUUUUGUCUGAUUAGACAUAAUGGUUUUGGAAAGUGGUCUAGGUAGAGGGGUUGAGGGAUACUGGCGGAAUAAAAAUAAAGAGCAAGACGUAGGUAAGCUUCUGGUUCCAGAACUCCUCCAACUGGCUUUGUUAUCGCAGUCAUUUAGAUAAAUGAAUAGAGUUACAUCGUUUCGGGCAAUUUACAUGAAUUUAGCUCAUUAAUCUCUGCAACCACCCCAUGAAAUAAGUUCUGCCGUUAUCAGUCCUGUUUUACAGAUAACGAAAUUGAGGAUCAGAGAGGCUAAGUAACUUCCCCAAGGUCAUGUAGGAGGUGAAGCAGGGAAGUCAAAUUUGUACCCAGCCUUUUCUGCCUGCAGAGUCCCUGCUCUCCUGUUCCUUAGUAUGUGGCAUCUCUGAGCUGGUCAGUGAUUACCACGUGUGGACAAGGUACUAGACACGGAGCCAUGACUGGCUAUAGUGUGGACCAAACAGACGUGGCCCCUGUCUUCAGGGGGUUGACGCUCCAGAAGUAAAGACAGACACCAAACAAAUAAUUUAAAAUUCUUAAAUAAUUUCAAGUGUGCAAAGAUCUCUGAAGAAGCAAGGAGCAUUGGGUUUUUUCCUCAAAAAAAAAAAAAUGAGGAAACUCAAGUCUCCCUUCUAGCUCAAUCAUUCUACUUGCUUCAGAAAUUUACAACCCCGAUUAGAAUGCAAGCCCAAGGUACAAAUCAUUCGACCUACAAAAAUUUUGUUCAGCCCAUACAGCGUGUGCUGAUGAAUAAAAGCCUCGUGUUCUUCAAUUACAACCACUUUCCUUCUUUCUUUGAGGCCUAAAAGAGAGCUCUAUCAGCUUUGUUCUAAUCCAUAACAUUUAUAGAAUGCCUUAGAAUUGACCAACAUUCCAUGGAGACUCAUUCCACUGAGCCUUUCCAACAGUCUUGAGAGGUGGAUGCUGGUCCCCUCGUUUUGUAAGUAAUAUAUUUACUGAACACUCUGUUAUGUGCCAGACCCUGAGCUCAGCACUUCACAUACUUUAUUCAAUCAAUUCUCGUAACAACUGUAUGAAGGCAAUACCAUGAUCUACAUUGAGGAAGUCCAAGCUUAGGGAAGUGUUUUGUCUAAAGUCCAACAGCUGGGAGGUGAAGGAACAGGGAUUACCUGCACCAUGGCCCGAGCCCAUGACACCUUGAUGGGAGCUAUGACUUUCCCCAGGCCACGUAGCCAGUGAAGGGCCAUGUUAGCACUUGAACUUGAGUCCUUUGUUCUCUCCUCCAUAACUUAGAAAACUCCUAUACCUAGGUCUGCUUCUGGUGUUUGGGCACAUAGGCUAGAGGAAAGGUAUUUUGAAAGUAACUCAAGUGUAGAUAAAUUGAGGAAUGUGUUCUACUUCAUUUUAAAGUGACAUAUGGCUAUUAUCAACCUUUUUUUUUUUUUUCUUCUGGGAACAAAGAAGGUUUGCAUUUAUAAGGCAGAAUCCUUAGCAAAAGCAUUUCCCAUGUAUGAUUGGAGUCGAUCCCCGUUGCAGCCUUAUCUAGUUUUGACAUGUUUAUUACUGUGAUAGUGAAAGUCAAGAAAUGCAGAAAUAUGGAAUGCAGACACACCAAAAUUAACUUCUAAUAUGGUCAGCUAAAAGAAACCAACCUCCAAGCCAGCGGUCAAAUGGUGACAUUGCCCAAGAAAGUAGACUUUGAAAGCUUUUAAUCUGUAGAUCUCUCAUUCGAUUUUUCUGUGACUCAGUCGUGCUUCCCCGAAGUUCUUAUGAGUGAAAAGUCUUUGUGGUCUUUUGAUAACGUUGAUAACAUUGGUAGAUGGAUAAUAUUAUUUCCAUCAAAUACAGUUUCAUCUAGAAGUGCUAUCGGAUGCCAUUCAUGAGAGGUGACCGCUCACACGUUAAAAUUCAACGGUAAAUGGGGAAUGCUAGCUAAUUCUGAACAAUGUUAAUUUUUUAAAAGACUGGGAUGUAAGUUAUUAAGAAAAAAACAACUGCUGGGUAUAAAAAGUUCUCUAUUCUCCGACACAAGAAUCUAGGCAAAAGAGAGAGAGUGUGUGUAAAAGAAGACACGAUGGCUUCGGCACAAAUAGAAGAAUUAAAGAUUCAGAUUAAAGAUAAAGGAUAAAACUCCAGCCCAGGUUUGUGACCAGCAAUUUAUUUCCCUGUCACUAGAUGGGGCUCACUAGUUGAGGUUACUUCCCUUCCAGAUCUGCAUUUUGUGUCCCACAACAUAAAGAAUUCAACUGGGCCUUUGGGUUCAGCAUUUUAAAAGAUAAGUUAUUGGAAGGUAUUCAAUGGGAAUCCUAAUAAGAUUGACUUUUUUGUUGACCACAAUAGUCUUAUUGAGCAAAGCUAGCUCUAUCCCAAUUUAACAUGAAAUAGGUCACUAUUAGAAAAGACAGCUUUAUUGUGUUUGUAUUUGGGAUUAACGGAUAAAAUAAAUAGUUCUUUUCUUCCCACAGGGGUUGAUGAGCCAGCUUUAUUCUAAAUGACUGAAGACUUCUGUUCUUUUCAACAAACACAGUCCUCCAAUUAGGAGCUGCAAAUAAGAUUAUAUGCCCUGAAUAAGUCUGAAAAGGUCCUUUUAUAAUUAGAAAGUUUGUGUGUGGGAAGUAGAAGCAGCAUUAAGGGUUCACUGUGGCUUUAUUAAGAGAGUGACAUGAAGAUUUCCCCAAUCCUCAUUUGAGUGCUCUGAAAUGAUAAAAACAAAAAUUAUAGAAAACAG
rnacentral:lncRNA from 1 species